UCGAGGGGUAACAGGGUGCUUGCACCGCUGACGACCGGCGCACGGGUGCGUAACGCGUAUAGAACCUACCUUUUACAGGGGAAUAGCCCAGAGAAAUUCGGAUUAAUGCCCCAUAGUAUAUAGAAUGGCAUCAUUUAUAAUUAACAUUUAUGGGUAAAGAUGGCUAUGCGUUCUAUUAGCUAGAUGGUAAGAUAACGGCUUACCAUGGCAACGAUAGAUAGGGUCCUGAGAGGGAGACUCCCCCACACUGGUACUGAGACAGGGACCAGACUCC
rnacentral:rRNA from 1 species